rnacentral:rRNA from 1 species
ACAAGUACCGUGAGGGAAAGUUGAAAAGCACUUUGAAAAGAGAGUGCAAGAGAACGUGAAACCGUUAUAGUGGAAGCGGAUGGAGCCGACGUAUCCAGUGUGUAUUCAGCAGUUUGCGGGUGCAAUUUGCGCGUGUGCAGUUCUGCAAAGUCUGCCUCGUGUUUUGUUGUGCUCGUUGGCUGUGCAUUUGCACACAGAGUGCGCCGAAUCGGUUGGUUGUGUCGUUUGAAGUUGGUGUAGAGGACUAGCUUGCUAGAAACCUGCGCUCAAUGGACGGCGAAUGCGGCUAAUCGUUGUGAAGCUGGUUUUUCGUGGCGUCGUUUUGGCAUUUCGGUUGUCUACGUAUAGUGCUUGCAUUCUGCGUUUUUGGCUGGCAUGUCGGAGCGGCGUUGCACUGCUUCCAUUCGGUGUUCAGUCGGUCACCCAUUUGACCCGUCUUGAAACACGGACCAAGGAGUUUAAGGUGUACGCAAGUCAUUGGGUGUGAAAACUCAAAGGCGUAAUGAAAGUGGGACACUUGGUGUCUGUGAUGUGACUUGUGAGCGAUUCGUUGUACACGAGGCAACAUCGACCCAUGACUAGAAUUCGUUCUGUUGUGGAGUCUGAGCGUACGCUUUGAGACCCGAAAGAUGGUGAACUAUGCCCGAACAGGACGAAGUCAGAGGAAACUCUGAUGGAAGUCCGAAGCGGUUCUGACGUGCAAAUCGAUCGUCUGAUUUGGGUAUAGGGGCGCAAGACUAAUCGAACCAUCUAGUAGCUGGUUCCUUCCGA